AGUCUUAGUCUCCAGUCCUGGGCUUCAUAGAUGUUCAGUGCCUACAGCUGUCUGGUCCUCCUAGGAAGGAGAGUUUGCGGUGGCCAGCUCAGAAUUCAGUACACAAAGCUAGAAGCUAGGAGCACGGUCUGAAUUGGUGAUGGAGCUCUGGGAAUCUGGACGCUGGAGUUAGAGAACUGCAGCCAGAACUAUGUGGCUGGAGUUUAAGGCAACAUGGAUCUUCAAACAGCAGCCACAGCGUUGGCUUGCGGCGUCCCUCCAGCCCUGCUAUGCCUGCCUAGGUCAGGUGUGUCGGCAUGGAGUGAAGAGGACGGUGAUGAAAGAAAGAGCCUGUAGGCAGAAAAGAAGAUGAAGUGUGAGGGUGAGAAGAGAAGGCAUGGAGUGUGGACUGUCUUCAGCAUCUUAAGAGUUCUUCCGGAAAGGCCAUUGUGGCCAAAUUUCCUUCAGUCAUCAUUCUGAGCUAUCCCACCCUGACACACCCUGCUUCUUCUAUCCAAGUACAUGUGCACACAAGCCUAAUGCAUUAUCUUGGCAAUCUCUCUCACUUCCUUGCUUUAAUUUCAUUUUGGGAGUAACUUCUUGUCAGUCACUGUCUUUCCGACUAAUUCAUGUCAAACACCAAAGGCAGCAAAUUCCAUGGCAGCUUGAGACAUGCCCACCAUCUGGACAGAGGG